GUAGACUCGGUACCAGGCCCUGUUCAGCAUGGACAAGGUUAGUAGUAGACUCGGUACCAGGCCCUGUUCAGCAUGGACAAGGUUGUUAGUAGUAGUAGACUCGGUACCAGGCCCUGUUCAGGAUGGACAAGGUUGUUAGUAGUAGUAGACUCGGUACCAGGCCCUGUUCAGGAUGGACAAGGUUAGUAGUAGUAGUAGUAGACUCGGUACCAGGCCCUGUUCAGGAUGGACAAGGUUAGUAGUAGUUGUAGUAGACUCGGUACCAGGCCCUGUUCAGCAUGAACAAGGUUGUUAGUAGUAGACUCGGUACCAGGCCCUGUUCAGGAUGGACAAGGUUAGUAGUAGUUGUAGUAGACUCGGUACCAGGCCCUGUUCAGCAUGGACAAGGUUAGUAGUAGUUGAAGUAGACUCGGUACCAGGCCCUGUUCAGGAUGGACAAGGUUAGUAGUAGUUGUAGUAGACUCGGUACCAGGCCCUGUUCAGCAUGAACAAGGUUGUUAGUAGUAGUUGUAGUAGACUCGGUACCAGGCCCUGUUCAGCAUGAACAAGGUUGUUAGUAGUAGUUGUAGUAGACUCGGUACCAGGCCCUGUUCAGCAUGAACAAGGUUGUUAGUAGUAGUUGUAGUAGACUCUGUACCAGGCCCUGUUCAGCAUGAACAAGGUUGUUAGUAGUAGUUGUAGUAGACUCGGUACCAGGCCCUGUUCAGCAUGAACAAGUUUGUUAGUAGUAGUAGUAGUAGACUCUGUACCAGGCCCUGUUCAGCAUGAACAAGGGUAGUUGUAGUAGACUCUGUACCAGACCCUGUUCAGCAUGGACAAGGUUGUUAGUAGUAGUUGUAGUAGACUCGGUACCAGGCCCUGUUCAGCAUGGACAAGGUUGUUAGUAGUAGUUGUAGUAGACUUGGUACCAGGCCCUGUUCAGCAUGAACAAGAGUAGUUGUAGUAGACUCGGUACCAGGCCCUGUUCAG